rnacentral:rRNA from 1 species
GACGAACGCUGGCGGCGUGCCUAAUACAUGCGAGUCGAGCGGACGGAUGGGAGCUUGCUCCCAGACCGUCAGCGGCGGACGGGUGAGUAACACGUGGGCAACCUGCCUGUAAGACUGGGAUAACUCCGGGAAACCGGGGCUAAUACCGGAUAACUCUUUCCCUCACAUGAGGGAAAGCUGAAAGAUGGCAUCUCGCUAUCACUUACAGAUGGGCCCGCGGGGCAUUAGCUAGUUGGUGAGGUAACGGCUCACCAAGGCGACGAUGCGUAGCCGACCUGAGAGGGUGAUCGGCCACACUGGGACUGAGACACGGCCCAGACUCCUACGGGAGGCAGCAGUAGGGAAUCUUCCGCAAUGGACGAAAGUCUGACGGAGCAACGCCGCGUGAGUGAUGAAGGUGUUCGGAUCGUAAAACUCUGUUGUCAGGGAAGAACAAGUACCGGAGUAACUGCCGGUACCUUGACGGUACCUGACCAGAAAGCCACGGCUAACUACGUG